UACGGAGGAUGCGAGCGUUAUCCGGAUUUAUUGGGUUUAAAGGGUGCGCAGGCGGCACGGCAAGCCAGCGGUCAAAUCGUGGGGCUCAACCCCAUCCAGCCGUUGAAACUGGGGAUCUAGAGUGUGCGAGAGGUAUGCGGAAUGCGUGGUGUAGCGGUGAAAUGCAUAGACAUCACGCAGAACCCCGAUUGCGAAGGCAGCAUACCGGUGCACAACUGACGCUCAGGCACGAAAGCGUGGGUAUCGAACAGG
rnacentral:rRNA from 1 species